rnacentral:rRNA from 1 species
GAUGAACGCUAGCGGCAGGCUUAACACAUGCAAGUCGAGGGGCAGCGGGGUGUAGCAAUACAUCGCCGGCGACCGGCGCACGGGUGCGUAACACGUAUGGAAUCUGCCCUGUACUGGGGGAUAGCCCUCCGAAAGGAGGAUUAAUACCCCAUAACAACUUGAGUGGCAUCACUUGGGUUUGAAAGCUCCGGCGGUACAGGAUGACCAUGCGCCCGAUUAGCUAGUAGGUGAGGUAACGGCUCACCUAGGCUACGAUCGGUAGGGGGCCUGAGAGGGUUAUCCCCCACACUGGUACUGAGACACGGACCAGACUCCUACGGGAGGCAGCAGUGAGGAAUAUUGCGCAAUGGAGGCAACUCUGACGCAGCCAUGCCGCGUGCAGGAAGAAGGCGCUACGCGUUGUAAACUGCUUUUAACCGGGAAGAAACCCCAGGACGUGUCCUGGGUUGACGGUACCGGAGGAAUAAGCACCGGCUAACUUCGUGCCAGCAGCCGCGGUAAAGUCG